rnacentral:tRNA from 1 species
UAAGAAGUAUGUUAGUACAUUUUCCUUCCAAGAAAAAAGCCUUUGAAUUUAAGCUUGCUUAG